rnacentral:rRNA from 1 species
UACGGAGGGGGCUAGCGUUGUUCGGAAUUACUGGGCGUAAAGCGCGCGUAGGCGGCUUUGUAAGUUAGAGGUGAAAGCCCGGAGCUCAACUCCGGAAUUGCCUUUAAGACUGCAUCGCUAGAAUCACGGAGAGGUGAGUGGAAUUCCGAGUGUAGAGGUGAAAUUCGUAGAUAUCGGGAGGAACACCAGUGGCGAAGGCGGCUUCCUGGCCUGUUCUUGACGCUGAGGCGCGAAAGCUAGGGGAGCAAACGGG